UACGGAAGGUGCAAGCGUUAAUCGGAAUUACUGGGCGUAAAGCGUGCGCAGGCGGUUCGCUAAGACAGAUGUGAAAUCCCCGGGCUUAACCUGGGAACUGCAUUUGUGACUGGCGGGCUAGAGUAUGGCAGAGGGGGGUAGAAUUCCACGUGUAGCAGUGAAAUGCGUAGAGAUGUGGAGGAAUACCGAUGGCGAAGGCAGCCCCCUGGGCCAAUACUGACGCUCAUGCACGAAAGCGUGGGGAGCAAACAGG
rnacentral:rRNA from 1 species